AUGGUCACGUGGCCGCGCGGCGUCGGGGCGGGGCUACGCCAUGGCGUCAGCGAUGGUGGCGUGGGUGGCAUGGCUAUGGCGCUCUGGAGCGGCGCUGUCUUUAUCCGCUGCCAUCGAGGGGCGCAGGCGGUAUCCGCCGGUCCCGGGCUAAGAAGGCGCAGCCGCGAACAGGUGCACGGCCCCGGGAGGCGAGAGGGCUGACCGCCGGCACGAUGCCCCGUCCAGGAACAGCCUCGGAACGCCCCGGGCCUGCCGUGGGGAAACGCGUCCCUGUGAGUCUCGCGUUCCUGUGGCCUUGAGAGAGUCGGGUGCCUGCUGCCCUUGGCCCCGGGGGUCUUUGCAACAGACAGCCUUGGAAUGGAGGAGGGUCCAGAAAGCCGCGGCUGCUUUGUUAUCCACAAGGAGAGGCGUCGGAGACGCCCACGGCCCCUGACACCGGCGCUGCUGCAUGGCUGCCCCAGCGCCUGGCACGAGCCACGUCGGCUGACGCCCCCAGGAUGCCAGAGCCGGAGGAGACCUGAAGAACGGUCCCCUCGGUGGCUGUCCGGCCGACCCGUGGGGCCUGUGCUCGGUCGCAGGAGGUGGUAACCGCCGGCCAUGUGUGGUGUCGCCGCGUCUAAACAGCAGGCCUCCGUGGUGUGUCUCAUCUGCGUCUCCUGUCGUGCAGUGGGACCAAGGCCUCCCGUGUGAGCAUCUGGUGCAGCUGCCGCGGUCUCAGCUUCCAGAACGAGGCGCCUGUCUGCACCCGGACCCACGCCCCCGGCGUCUCCGUGAAAAACAAGAACUACUUAAUAAAUACAAAAUCAAAGCG